UAGGGGAACCUUGCCCCGCUCAAACUUGUAACAGUACUAUAGUACAGGCAUGUAAAAACCCACCUUUCUACUGGCUUGUAGCAAGUUUUAAUCAACAUAGGAAAUCCAGAAGCUUAAUUUGGGCUAAUUUGGGCUAUGAAAAAAGAGUUUGUUGAUUGGGAGUUUACUUGCAAGUCUGUUGUAGAAUGGAGUGAGCUGCUUUUGUGUUCUGUAAUAGACCCAGUGGUGAAAGUCAUUCCCUGGUCCUCUUCAUUCAGGAAUUUUCUCCUGGUGCCCCUGAAGCAGUUAAGAUGUUUGGGUUCCUUUUCCUGCUGCCUUUUCACUUGCUGUUUUUCUUAAACUGGGCUUUCCUUUCUUGCUCUGGCUAAUGUCACGAGUUCAUGGAGGGCUUAUAUGCAGAACAUACAUAUUUCUACCAGGAAAGGGAACAGGUGCUGCUGGAGUCUUUUACCCACACAUGAAGUAUUGCAGAGUACAUCUGUCAUCGCAUGAAUGUCAGCAGGAGACACUCACAUCUGUUUCCCUGUAGCAUUUGUUAUCAAGAAGGAAGGGAUUGUGGGGAGGAAGGGAGGGUGGGGAGAGAAAUAAGAGCUCAGCAUGUCACUUAAGCAAAGCAGUGGCACUUUGCCAUCAGAGUGUUUGUUCAGGACUUCAGGUGGUCUUCUGUCCCCAACGUUUUCCACUUAUUGAAUGCAGGCAUCAUUUCUUGGCCCUUGGGGUGCGUAUGUGAAAUGUGGGUGGGUGGGAAAUGGGUUGUCAUGUGUCACAGCACUGUAAUUUCUCCACCCUCCUCUUCUCUUUGGCAUGCUGUAGUGCUGCCGAACAGCAGUUCCUGCUUGUUUUGGCAAUGAGGAGAGCAUCUGCUUCAAGAAAGGCACAUGGAAAAACUUCCACUUUGGCUCUGUCGGCUGACUCACAGUUCUGAACUUGCAACUCUCCCAAGUACCUUUCAUGCAAGGAAGUGAGUGAAAGAUGAAGGGCAUGGGGGAUAGUGGGAAACAUCAUAGAAGGGCCAAGCAGAGGCAAGGUGCUGUGUAACACUAGACUUGGGAAACCAGUGAAGCCCCCGCCAGUUUUUCCAGCCCCCAACUCAUAUCCAGAAACCCCAGGACAGUUUCUAUAUAAAACUAUUUUUUCUUUGUGUUUACUAGCUGGAUUGUUGGAGAUGCUAGUUUUUAUUUAGGAGACAGCCGAGGCUCUUUUGGAGUGCAUUUUCGGCUAAUUGGGCAAGUCUAUUCUCCUCUUUUGGCUGAUGUUCUUUUGAUGGUUCUUGUCUCUUGUAAUCAUGUAAAAAGGCCUUUUGGUUCCACACAAACCAGACAGUGCCUCUAAAAAGGUUGCUCCCAAGUCCUUUUUCUGUCUGGAAGAGGGCAAAAGACUGGAUAAUGCUGUAUUGACUGAUUCAUGAAGACCAAUAAGUCUCCCACUUCUUUUGCAAGUUUGCCUCUUUUUAAUUUUUUUUGUCUGUUCUUUGUUAACACUUAAAAAUUCCAAGCACACCUCAAGGGUUCGGGUUGGGAGUAAAAGUAGGGCAAUUGCUUGAUAGAAAUUUUCUUUUCUUUUAAAAGGCCAGUACGCCUCAACAAAUCCUGAGUCAAAACCUGCUUUUUGUAAAGAUUAAUCUCCUUUCCUAGUACAAUGGGCCAUCCUUAGCACAAAAGUUCCUUUUACAUAAUUUUCCCAGCAAAGAAAUGGGGUUGCCCAUUUAGACAGGGUGCUCCCCAGGAACCUCUGUGUCAAGGGAAAUGGUAAGUGAAAGAGAGAACACAUCAGUAGUGGAAACAUAUUUCAGGCAAAUCCAUGCCAGCAUCAUGUUUUUGCAAGGCUGAAUUCAUAUUUUAGAUUCCCAAGCAGUGCCAUCAAAUUUUUAGGGGGGCAGGAGUCUCUGUUUGGGGUGGGAACAGUUAACAAGGAAGGAGAUUCUAUCUCCAUUAUCAUUCCUAGGCCUAGGGCGCCUCUCCAGAUGUUUUUUUAAUUGGGUAUUCAUGACAAUUUGUACUCAUGAUAGUACUGGGGUGGUUAUAUGCAAUCCUGCUUUCAACAUGGUUAACACCUGCAACAUAACAGCUUCAUUUCCAGUCAGUGCAUGUCCCUUUGCUUCCUGCUGAAGUCCUGUAACAAAGUUCCAGUUUAUGUUGUCCUGCUUUUGUUGCAACAACUUUUGUUGUUGAAGAGCAUCCCUUCAAAUGGUCAUAAUGCAGUAUAUGACUGUUUAAGUUAUAUAGUACCUUGCUUGAGAUAAAGUCCCAGUUGCCAGACCCAGAAAAUAUUUGUAAUCCCAACCUACAACAGCAGACUACAUUUGAAAGGUUUUUUUUCUUUUAUGUUUUUAUUUACCUUCCCUUCUCUCUAUGCAGCUUCCUUCUCUCUCUUUCUCUCUUUCCCCCCUCCUCCAAAGAUGCUGCUGGUGUGAUCCACCAAAGAUAAGGUCAGAGGCAUCAGUAUUUGGAACCUAGAAUGCGUCAUUGUCUUCCUUUGCAUUCGCUGCAGUUAAUUCACAUGAUCAGGUAGUUGUAAAGUUGACGGUGUGCCUGGGGGAGAGGCAGGCAAAGUGAAGAUGUGUGCAUCUGUUCUUUUCCAGGCCUGAUGCCGAGGGACAAGGUGAGUGACAGUCCAUGUGAACCUCCAUAGCAGAGACCUGGUGUGGCAUUUAAAGGCAUCUCUGCUCUCGGAUGUGAUUGAUGGCAGCUUGCAGGCCUGAGCGGCUGCAGGAGCAAAUACGUCGAUGUGGAAUAGCUGGGAAAGGGCAGCCAUGAAGGUCAUGAAGCGCCUAGGAAGCCAUUGGGGUGGGGUUGGGGGGAGAGCAUCUGGGGAUAACAGUGGCAGGUUUGCUGCAGCUGGGUGUUCUUUAUGUUCCUGCAGAGCAGCUGGGGCUUUGCUGUUCUUUAGCUGGUGCCUGGAGGGGUGGGUGUCAGGCUUGGCUGGGUUUAGUGGCCUUUUAAAAGACAGAGGAAUCCUGGACUGGUGGACAUCUGUGUGCAGCACACCAUUGUAUGGGCAGCAUGUAAUAAGAAUUGAGUGGCAAUGUGAUAGCAUUAAAAGCUUGUUCUUGCCCGGACGGUGUAUACAAACAAGCAUUCUGUAUGGAAUUGCAUAGUGUAAUUGGUUUUCAGCAGCCUUGGCUAACCUGGUUCCUUCUAAAUGUUUUGGACUACAACUCCCAUCAGUCCCACCCAGCACGUGCCAGCAAGAGCUCAUGGGCGUUGUCCAAAGCAUCUAUAAGGAGCCAGGUUGGCAAAGUUUGUUUAGAGGAUGAGCUUGAGAUUUUGCUCAUGCUCAGUGCCUGGCUUGUUAACAUCUUGGGGUUUGAGAAGUAAUUCUGCACUCAAUUGGCUAUUGUGGAUGAUUUGAGAGCUGCUUUGCCCACACAAAUUAAGUUGCUUAUCACCUGUUCUAAAUGGGAGCUGGUUUCUUUGCAAAUACAGUUUUCUGCAGUGCACUUAAUUUUCUGCUGGUGCCAUAUUGUGAUCUGGGUUGCAUGGGUUGAUCUUUUGGAUGGCCCUAGGAAGUAGCUGAGCUCAGGUGAACUUUGGCUCUUUUCUGUGGUUUUGUGUUCUGCCAGUCACGUUCCAUAAGAACAUAAGUAGAGCCCUGGUGGAUCAGGCCUAUGGCCCAUCUAGUCUAGCAUUUAGUUCUCACAGUGCCAACCAGAUCCCUAUGGGAAACCUGCAACCAGGAUCUGAGCACAAGAACACUUCCCCUCCUGCAGUUUCCAGCAGCUGAUAUUCAGAAGCACUACAGCCUCCAACUGUGGAGGCAGAACAUAGCUUCCAUCGUGUCUAGUACCCAUUGAGAUCCUUUACCUCCAUGAAUAUCUCAAAAUUUUGUAUCACUUUGGAUCAGUGUUUCAAGGUCAGCAAAGAUUCUGAAAUGGCUUCUUAUUAGCUUCUUUCCCAUGCAGAAGUUUUAUAAAUUAGAAUGAACACUUUAGAAUAAUGGUGCAAUAUUCCAUUCACCAUAUUAGCAUAUAUACCACUUCACUGCUUUUUUGAUAGAUGGUAGAGCCAUUUAGUCUAAACUUGCCUUCCUUCCAUUUCUUUCCUGAAUUUUUAUGGAGAAUCUGGGCAACAUUAUUGCCAACCUCUUGCAUUCUAGUUGUUUCUGUGUUAUCCUCUCAUGUUUUGUCAGAACUGAUUUGAGGUGAUUGUUUUUCACUUAACAUGUAAUUAUAGUGUCAGUCUGGCAGUACGGACUGGCAAAGAAACACUGAGGUUUUUAUUACUAUUGUUUCUAUAGUUAGAAGUUUCAUCCUUGUAGAUUCUGGUGAUGAAGUGCCCCUAAAGUAGUGAGGUCCUGUUUCCUGUGUGUGUGCUAAUUGCUUGUGUCCUCUCAGGUUAUUUCCUUUUGAUUUUUUAAUUGUGAAAUAGUGCUCCUUUGCAGGUAUAUACUUACCUGCACACCUCUCUUUGUUGAUGUGAACACCGUGGCUAAUGAUGUUUAUAUUCACAGCUUCCCUACCACACCACUGUGGACUAAGGCAAUUGAGGGAGUAUCACUGAAGGAGUUCAACAAAUUGUUUUUUGACAUGAUUUUGAUGAGCCCUCUCCUUUAUGAGAGUAGGCAGACAGGGUGAUGUUUUUUACCCUAGGACCUCUAUAUUCCUGAUAUUCUUCCAAGACCCAAGUUAUUGAGCCAGAGCUUCCACAGCUGCUGUCUGCCAUGAACCAUCAUUGGCAGAAUUGGCAGCAGCAGAGACCAUCUUGUCUGUCUCUAGAGUUGUAGGAACAGGAAAGGACAGUGAAGAAAGAGCUGUGUGUGGAGGGUGGCCUUUCGCCCAUCCUCUGGAUCCCCUGGGAAACUCAACAAACCUGCUGUACCUGGAACUGGGUGUGGAGAGUGCAGCUGAAUGGAACACAGCUGUGAGCAGCAUGAGGAAGUACUUUGAGCAAGUACCACCUUAAGCCUGUCAUAAAAAACAAGUCUAAAGAGAAAGACUAGGGUGAUGUUUGCUGUUUCCAGGAACUCUUCUCAUUAUCAGACUUUUGUGGGUGUGCUGGGAGUUUGUUUCGACGCAUAAGUAAGGCUGAUAGGUAGGGUGUGUCAGAAGGACAAUGAAUUCAUAUCGAUAGAUAUAUAUUAGUAACUUUGUAUUAAUGUAUUGUUUUUAUAUGUAGCUGUGUAUUUUUGCAAUAUUUUGUUUGUUUUGUCUGUUGUUGCUUCAGUUUUCUGUACACUGCUUAAAGAUACUUUUAAUAUAUUAAGUGGUAUAGAAAUUAAGUCAUCAUCAUCUCUCUGUAGGGAUCAGCAACUGGCUAAUUAAGGAGCAAUUCAGUCAUUAAAGCCACACCUUGCUGAAUAGGAAGUAGUCAUAAGAGAGAAGCUACUUAUCAAAGUUACAGGAGAUCUUUGCUGAAUGGGACUUAAUGUCUAAAUAGACAUUGUAGAAGGACCUUGUCUAUGGGACAGGCCAUGUCAGAUAAUACAGAGCCAUAUUAAAUGCCAUGUGGCACCACAAUUUUAAUUCUGCUUGUAGAAUUUAGUGUGAAGUUAGGAGAAUCCAAAUGUUCUUUGAUUUUAGCAUAGAUUGAAAAAUAUGAUCCAAAUUAGGGGUGACCAUCCUCUUUUUCUGUCAAGGGCCAUAUUCCAUUUGGGGUAAUCUGUUGGGGGGGGCUGCAAGGUCAUAGUAGGCGGGGCCAAAGUCAAAACUGGGUGAGGCAAGAACAAAGGUGGGUGAGCCCCACUUUUCUCUCUUUUUGUCACCUCUUUCCUCCCUGAUCCCCCCUGCCGGCACCCACAUGAAGUUGGGUCAAAGGUGUCAUCUGACACUAGAGCUUCAAGUUGCCCAUUUCAGAUCCAAGUGAAUGCAUGUGAUGACUCACCAGGAUUUAUGGUCAGCGUAAUGGUGUCAAGGGGAUAGGAACUAGAGGAUUUCUAGAGCUGAAGUUCCAGUGUCACAGACACUCUUGAUGCCUUGAUGCAGCAGCCCUCCUCUUGCAGCAAGUAGUGCAUUAAAAAAAGAGUAGUGCAUUGAUUUUAAAAAAGAGGGGUUGAUGCUUGGGAUGCAGCUCCUGCCUCUCUGUUGAUAUUUUGUGGGAAACCAACGUAAUU